UUAAGCAUAUAAGUAAGUGGUGGAAAUUAAACCAAAUGGGAUUCCUUAAGUAAUUGCGAAUGAACAAGGACAUGCUUAGCUUGACAAUUGGAGCCUCUGGCUUCGACUUGUAUUUUUGAAAUGUAUUACCAACAGAGGUGCAGGUGUCAGCCUAUUGAAAGAAAGCGUCAAUGAGGGUGAGAAUCCUGUUUGUCAUGUGCAAUCCUCUGUGCACGGUGUAUGUUUGCUGAGUCACACUCCUUGGCAUUGGAAUGCAAAGUGGGUGGUAAGUUUCAUGUAAAGGUAAAUAUAGGAUUGAGACUGAUAGCACACAAGUACCAUGAGGGAAAUAUGAAAAGGACUUUGAAAAGAGAAUUAAAUGAGUUUGUAUUUGCUGAACAGAAAAUAAACAGAUUUGAUGUUGCUUGGUGAGAUUGUGGUGCUUGCUUGACAAUAGGUUUUGAUUGUGGGUGUGAUGAUUCUUGCUUUGCUUGCCAGUUUCUAUUUGUACAUUUGAUUACCCUUGCACAUGAAUGGUAAUUUUCCUGCGGGGUUUGGAUUGCAUGUGUUUGUGAUGAUUUGUGUUUUGAUACAUGUGUCUGGUGCUUUUGUAAUUGCUCAUUUCUUGAAGCUGGGCCUACCCUACUAGAGCUUACAAGCCCUGGCACACAAUUGCUGGCAAAAUGCUUCUGCUUGACCCGUCUUG
rnacentral:rRNA from 1 species